ACUCAAAGGAAUUGACGGGGACCCGCACAAGCGGUGGAGCGUGUUGUUUAAUUCGAUGGUAAGCGAAGAACCUUACCCAGGCUUGACAUCCUGCCAAGUUCGCCGAAAGGCGAGUGUGCCUUCGGGCCGCAGUGACAGGUGAUGCAUGGCCGUCGUCAGCUCGUGUCGUGAGAUGUUUGGUUAAGUCCAUUAACGAGCGCAACCCUUAUAGUUAGUUGUAUUUCUCUAGCUAGACUGCCCUGGUAACAGGGAGGAAGGAGGGGAUGAUGUCAGGUCAGUAUUUCCCUUACGUCUGGGGCUACAAACACGCUACAAUGGCCAGUACAAAGGGCAGCCAAGUCGCAAGACGGAGCAAAUCCCAUCAAAGCUGGUCUCAGUUCGGAUUGAGGGCUGAAACUCGCCCUCAUGAAGUCGGAAUCGCUAGUAACGGUAGGUCAGCACACUACCGUGAAUACGUUCCCGGGUCUUGUACACACCGCCCGU
rnacentral:rRNA from 1 species